GUCCGCAACGAGACCCUCAAGUGUACCAGAUUUAAAAUCCUAAAAAAUCCACUUGGAUUUUUACCGGAUUCUCCAGGAUUUUUGGAUUUUUUUUGGAUUUCCUAGAUUACUGGAUUUUCAAGUAUUUCAUAUGGAUUUUCACUUGAAUUAUUGGAUUUACUGAUACUUAUUUUGGAUUUUUGGUAGGAUAAUUGGAUUUUUGGAUUUUUUAUCUGGAUUUUAGGCCUGGAUAGUCCAAGUAUGGGUGUGUAAUAAGAUCACAGAUCUGUCAGAGUGCUGGACAACUUUUACCGGUACCUCGACUUUCACAGAGCCAUGCUUUGUCUUCACUGAAUGGUGGGAUACAAUCUUCAUGAUACCAGUUGCGCAACACCUUUCACAUUGAACCAUUUUACGCCCAUCAUCUUCCCUCUUGCACGAUGGACAAUAGUAUAUAACUAUUUGGAAAAACGAGACACAACUUUGAGGGUCUAUACCAUUGGCCAGGGCCGUCGCAUUGGCAAUGGCAUAAAGACCACAGUCUGAGGAGCCACUUUGUUUUGUAACUGGAACACAGUUCACUUUUACUUGAAUGAAGCCAUUCUCAGCUAGGAGAAACGAUAAAAUUCGCUCGGAAUUUUCUGGAAGUUUUGAGUACACUGAAUCAUAAUAAUUCAGGCAGCACUCUGAAUCAUUUUCAGAUGGAAUGGAACUGACAACUGCCCAAUGGUGUCUCGUGAGUUGAUAGCAAGUGGACUGUAGGCCAUUCAAGUGAGGAAAACUAGCUUUUAGUAAAAACUGUGCAGCCGAUAUGUGAACAUCAGUGAUUCUUCUUCCAUUUGCAAUAUCCAAUUUAUCUUUUACUUUUAAAAGAUCACCAUCAAUUAUCAUAGGGUUUGAGGCUGAACCAGAAGUUGAUGCUUGACUGGGCAUGAGAGAAGUCGAGGUGCAUUUUUCACAAGCUGAGGCAAUGUAGUUCAUACACUCUGGAGUAACUUUAAAUUCAUUGGUUCUGUACCAUCGUAAAAGACACAGAAGUCACCUAUUGCUACAUGAUUACUGAUGAGUGGUUGAUUUUCGACUCGAUCUGACAUUAUUGUUGAAAGCUUGGUAGUCUCUUUGGAUUCAUUUGGCUGUUGUGAUCGAACACGGAAGAUUCUGUCACUGGACACCCUCUCUCCAUCAUUGAGUAGCCAUACUGCUGUCUUUUUACGGAUGAAGAUACUCCUGCCUUCAACAAUGACUGGUACAAAAAGGGAGUUGUUGGGAUCUUUAUCUGGUGUCAUUAUUUCAUUCUGAUACGUUGGAAUUGCUACUGAAGGAGAAAAACUUUUGUCAAGGUAGCUGUUUACUGAAGCAUCGACAAUUUCAAGGAGUGUAGAUGCUCUCAUAAAAUGCUCAAUAGCUGCAAAGUUUUGCUUGUCUCUAGAGUCUAAAUCUCUCCUUCUCAUCCCAUGUUUCUCUUUCCCAUAUAUGUUUGUAAGAAUGUGUAGGUGAGCACUAGUAGCAAUAUAAUCUCCCAUAGGUAGUAAUAUUGACGGCUUUAGCAGUCUUGUUUUAAACUUGACUGCUACAUGUACCAUAUCCUGUACACAAAAAAGUGCAUACAAAUUAGUACAUAACCAUUUUUUUAUUGAAAGAUUUCCUUGGAGUAUUGGGAGAGGUGUGGUGUCAUUAUUUAGAGAAAGAUUGGUGUUAUUUGAUAUUAGAUGUGUUGUAACACGCAUAGCCCUCAUCAGCCUUGAAUCUCCAUCAGCUGCAAAGCUGACGACACGUACUCCUCUGAGAGACAGCUCUUUGUUGAUAUAUUUCCACCUCUGUAGUACAUCAGUGGCUGAAAACUUGUUGUCACUCCCAAUGCAGGCCAAACAGAAGGAUGGAACACCCUCUUUCAGAGAUUGCACCAUGUAUACAUAAGCAUAUUUUGCUAUAGUAUGCUGCUGAAAAUAACUCUCAAUAUCUUCGAAUGUAUUAACAUUGAAGGAAUUACGUAAAGUAGCGUCCUCAGCCAGAGCAACCAUAAAUGGAGCUUUGUGUUUCACAAGAUGCUGUAGUAGAUCAUCAAAGCGAAAAUAUCCUUCACGCAAAGGUGUUACUUGAGAAGAAGUGGCUAUUGAGGAAAUAAUUGAAUGCAGUUUCUCAUUCUGUUUUACUAACUCCUGCUAUUUCUAAUUUUCUGAGCUUUCGAGCAGUACGAGAUUGGGACCAGUUUGAAGACUGUUUUUUAACCCCUCCUCUUAAAACAGAGGAGGGGCUAAUUAAAAAACCUGGUUUGUUGAAGGUUUUUCUUGUUUGGAUUGUAAUGACUGCUCUGAUGGCAACUGAGAUGGCAUUGUUAAUAGUGAAGGAGAAGGGGAGUGAGAAAGAGGCGAUGCUGUAGGAAUCGGUUGAAGAGGAGACACCUCUGCAUGAUAACUUUCAGUUGCUAUUUCAGUAUGAAACAACUCUAAUGGUGGAGAGUCAUCGUUGGACUGUGAACAGUGAGUAAUCGGGAAGAGUGAUUGUGAUGUUGCUGGUAGUGAUGAUGGAGAAUCAUCACUGGACUGUAAACAAUGAGUAAUCGGGAAGAGCAAUUGUGAUGUUGCCUCUUCAGCUGUUGCUUCAUUUGUGGAUAAUGUAUUACCAGUACUUGUGUCUGUGGAGCUUGUGAUGAUGUAGUCUCAUCAUGUACUAGUGAUGAUGCUUUGCGCUUCUUUGCUGGAGGGCCAGAUAUUGCUUGAACGGGUAAUCGCUGGCCCUUAAAGGAUGAAAUGAACUUCUUGAUAAUAACACGGUGUCCUGGAGGAAAUUUGAAUGGCUCGGAUAUACAUUUAUUUCGUCGCAUACAAUGUAGCAGUUCAUCCUUUCUCUCAUCAAUAUAUUUCUCAAGGUCACUAUGGAGCACAGAAGUUGAGUUUUGGAUUGUGUGAGUAUACAGCUAUUUUACCUGUUAAUCUCUGCCAUAGCUGCUAAAGAUAGGUUGCUUGCUAUCACUACAGCUAAUUGAGUAAUAGUAUGUCAAGCUAAGUUUCAAACCUACAUGUGGAUAAUUUGUAAUAAGUUUGUGAUUUGUCAUUAUUUGUCUCAUUAUUGAUCUUACUCUAAAUAAUUUUGAUAUUAUAGAGUCCAGAAAUAGUAUUCAACGGAGUGAAGUGAGGAUGGUGAAUUAUCCUUGGAAUUAUCUAUGCUAGAUUUUUUAAAGUUGUUUUCAUAACAUGAACAUUAUUGGCUUUAUCUUACCCUAGGUUUUUCAGACAAAUUCAGUCUUUAGACCAAAAUGCUGUUUCUGUUACCCUGCCAGUAACUUGAGAUAAGAUCAAGGAUCAGGAAAGAAAGAGCAAAUGAGAAGAAGGAAUCGAGAGCAAGGAAGUUGGACUAUCACAAAGACUUUAAAGUUUCAGUAGCUCUGCCUUUAGCAUGAGCAUGUGCACUACUACUAAAUAUAGCAGCUCAAACUGCUAUAUUUAGUAUCGAUGCAUGUUCAUGCUUGGUUUCACACUCAGUACUUGUGACUGCUGAGAUGUACUGUUUGUUCCUAUUUUAGAAUCAUUAUACUAACUGAAAAACCACUAUCACUAAUGACUUAUUAAUUAAUGUUUU